rnacentral:rRNA from 1 species
UUUCUUGACGACCAUAGAGCAUUGGAACCACCUGAUCCCAUCCCGAACUCAGCAGUGAAACGAUGCAUCGCCGAUGGUAGUGUGGGGUUUCCCCAUGUGAGAGUAGGUCAUCGUCAAGAUU